rnacentral:rRNA from 1 species
UACGUAGGGUGCAAGCGUUGUCCGGAAUUAUUGGCGUAAAGAGCUCGUAGGCGGUUCGUCGCGUCGGCUGUGAAAACCCGGAGCUCAACUCCGGGCCUGCAGUCGAUACGGGCGGACUCGAGUGCGGGAGAGGGAGAGUGGAAUUCCUGGUGUAGCGGUGAAAUGCGUAGAUAUCAGAGGACGAGCCGGCGGUGUAGACGGACUCUCUGGACCGUAACUGACGCUGAGACACGAAAGCGUGGGUAGCAAACAGG